rnacentral:lncRNA from 1 species
UUCCUUUUCACCCUAGCAUGCCCUAUUUCCACAAAUGAUCCAUCCGUCUGUCCAAAAAAGCCCCUCCUGUACACCCUUUUUCAGAAAGCUACGGGGCGCACGCGGGGAGUGGGAGGGGGGAGUAAGGUUUCAAUAAAACAAGGAACUAAACCAAGAAAGAACACACGGAUCCAGGGAAGGGAGAUUCCAGCCCAGGAGAAAGAGAGGUCCAGGAAUUUCGCAGGAUGACCGAGAACUCCCAAGAUAACUGCUCUGCAGAGAAGCAGAGAACGACCUUUCCAGUGGGAGCCAAGAUGAGACCGAAAGGCUGGUGGACUGGCAGGGGACGGGGACGGGGAGGCGGAGGGGCUGGCAGGGGACGGGGAGGAGGCGGUGCAGGAGGGGGUCAACAGGCAGCCUAAGGGAGCUUGAGCUCGAGGGCCCCUUCAUGGGCCUCUCAGCAGGGCCCAGGCUGCAGCAAGUCCUCACAGGAUCCCAAGCUUUGGUACGUUAUGGGAAGCGAGGCUAUUUGAAUUACCAUCACUGCAGAUGGGCAGAGUCACUUUCCACGGCUUCCCCUUCCCUCCCCUCCUGCACGCUUCCCUUCGUGGCCGGUGGCCUUUUUAACAUGCCACUAAGAAGCUGAGUUGAAACACAGUGCGGCUUGCGUCGGAGAGGGUCCCUGAUUGACGCCUCGCCAUCACGGCACCCCUCCCUAAGGUUGGCCCACCUGCCCAGGCAUGGCUUCCGGGGGUGCUGCCGCCCCUGCUCCGCCUGCGAAGACUCCCGUGACAUGAAGGUGGGCCGCGAGCCACCCUGAAGCAUGGACUUCAGUAAUAAAAAAGAAACACUCCGGAGGAAACCUCUUAUCUUCCUCUUCUCUCUAUGGAAAGUCACCGUACGACCCCCUUACCACCUGCAGAAAUAGACAAUAAGCAUGUGGCCACAAAGUGUGGGGAAGACGGAUUUCACAGGUGUUUUGAAAGAUUAUUAAAAAUAUAUCACGGGAGUUCCCUUUGUGGCUCAGCGGUUAAUGAGGAUGUGGAUUCGCUUCCACUGCGCCACGAUGGGAACUCCUCAUUAAUUUUUACGCUUAAUUUUCUAUUACUAAUUUAGCAUUUCUUUCCUAAGGAGAGCUCCCCACAAUUGUGUACCUUUCAGACCCCCUGAAACCUGGAUUCAUCCCAGGGGUUUUACGGGAAAAGUACAACGGAAAUGCUGGCUAUGUGACCAGUUGGCACCUGCAGAAAAUUGUGUGGUCAGGCUGGUUACAGUUAAGGAAGACUGCAAUUGGUUCAAAGAAGACAAAGCAAAAUUUUAAAUGAUUAACUUCAGAAGAAACAGAAGUUGUGCAAGAAAGGGAAUGUAAUCAGAUUAUACGACUUGACUCAGCAGUGAACAAUAUUGACACAGCUAUAACCGAUACAGUCUGCAUUUGGAUUUAAGUAAAAAUUGUUGUAGACUAAACUGGACAACUGUACCCAUCUACACGAUAAAAAAUGACU